rnacentral:rRNA from 1 species
AGCGAACGCUGGCGGCAGGCCUAACACAUGCAAGUCGAACGAACUCUUCGGAGUUAGUGGCGGACGGGUGAGUAACACGUGGGAACGUGCCUUUUGGUUCGGAAUAACUCAGGGAAACUUGUGCUAAUACCGAAUGUGCCCUUCGGGGGAAAGAUUUAUCGCCAUUAGAGCGGCCCGCGUCUGAUUAGCUAGUUGGUGAGGUAACGGCUCACCAAGGCGACGAUCAGUAGCUGGUCUGAGAGGAUGACCAGCCACACUGGGACUGAGACACGGCCCAGACUCCUACGGGAGGCAGCAGUGGGGAAUCUUGCGCAAUGGGCGAAAGCCUGGCGCAGCCAUGCCGCGUGAAUGAUGAAGGUCUUAGGAUUGUAAAAUUCUUUCACCGGGGACGAUAAUGACGGUACCCGGAGAAGAAGCCCCGGCUAACUUCGUG